UGCCAGCCUCCUGCGGCCUGGGAGGGAUAAACACCUUAGCCAGGCAGUUGCUUGCCAGGGCUCACGUCUUAAACAGCAGACAGGAAGCAGGGAGAGCAAACUCGAAAUGGCUUAACAGUCCUUAAUUCUCUUUUGUUCUCUUUCAUAUUCCCGGUUGGACUUUACACAAAUAUUCUGCACGUCUUUCGGUUGAUUUAUACCAGGUGUUUUCGACUGAUUAUCAACAAUACGUAGCAUUUAAAAUUCUUUUCUCCAUGUGUUUAGUAUAUUCAAAUAAAAUUUAUUUUAAUACUUUUUAGGGGUGUGUGUGUGUGUGUGUGUGUGUGUGUGUGAGAGAGAGAGAGAGAGAGAGAGAGAGAGGGAGAGAGAGAGAGAGAGAGAGAACGUGAGUAUAUGGGUGCGUGCCUGUAUGUGUAUGUGUAUGUGUAUGUGAGUGUGUGUGCAUGUACCAAGGACUUUCAUUUGGGACACGGACAACUUAACCAGAGUCUACACCACUGAAGAAAGUGUCUCUCUGUGGUAGUGUGCAUGAGGUGUUUUCUAUAGUCUCAUGCAUUUGAACACUUGAUCCCCAAUUGAUGGCCCUGUUUAUGGAGGCUUAGGGGCUAUGUAUGGCCUUGUUGGAGGAAGUGUGUCCCUGGGGUGGGCUUUAGGGCUUCAAAGCCCCUUGCCAUUUCCAGGUCGUUCUCUCUGCUUCUUGCUUGCUGUUUAAGAUGUGAGACGGUUUCUGCUCCAGCCGCCAUGCCUGUCACCUGCAGCCACGAUGUCCCUGAUAUUAAGGACUUCUAACCCUCUGGAACUUGUCU
rnacentral:lncRNA from 1 species